AAAAAAAAAAAAAAAAAAAGAUACGUAAUACCCUUCCAAUAACAACCAGCAACAAUUCAAUGCUUGAGGAGAGCUACAAUGACUGGUACCCUAUGUGAAAAAAAAAAAUAUAAGAGAGUGUGACUAUAGUGUGGGGGGUGAUUGACGAAUAGAGAAGAUCCUGUAGUCUUAAAAUCAAAUGUAGAAAAUGAAAAAUCAUUUUAUUGAACUAGAGGAUACCCCUUCACCACUGUUUUCCAGAGAAAGAAAGGACUGAGCUUACUCAGUUGCAACAGUGAUGGGAAUUGGUUUUGAAGCAGAUUAGCAGAAUCCAAGUAGACGAGUGUGUUUCCAUUUCUUUGUCUCGCUCUUAUCUGUGCUUAGCUCAUUUGCUCACCAAUUAG
rnacentral:misc_RNA from 1 species